GUUUACCUACGUUUCAGAAUUUGCAACGGCGGAUUGGUUCGGUCUGAUUACCGGGAUAGCUGUCGCCAACUCCUCGGACCUGUUCAUAGCGCAAAAUUCACAAGAGAGGACAUUUUUCAUAGGCGACAGACACACCCUCUGUUUCAAAUACGAGAUUUGCAAGAUGGACAGAAAUGGAACCGUGAAGGAGACCACAACCACGGAAAUUGAGUGUAAGUGGUUGCCGAUAAAGGAUAUAGACAUGUUGCCACUCAAUCAAUUGGUGAGUCAAUCGAAAUACAAGAGAUCAUAAAUUUUACGAGUUGCCGUUUAACCCGGGAAUAAUCCUUUAUUCAUUUAUUUGUAAACGAAAAAUUACAAGUGUUCGGAUAAGAAAAAUUAAAAUUAAAUCAAUAAGGUUGAUGGUAAGAAAAAUUAUAGAGUGUUCCUU